rnacentral:tRNA from 1 species
AAGUCUGAAAUAAAAUUUAUAUUCAGUUUCGACCUGAAAUUAUAGUUAAUUUAUUAACUCUGACUUA